UACGGAGGGUGCGAGCGUUGUUCGGAAUUACUGGGCGUAAAGGGCUCGUAGGCGGCCAACUAAGUCCGACGUGAAAUCCCCAGGCUUAACCUGGGAACUGCGUCGGAUACUGGAUGGCUUGAAUCCGGGAGAGGGAUGCGGAAUUCCAGGUGUAGCGGUGAAAUGCGUAGAUAUCUGGAGGAACACCGGUGGCGAAGGCGGCAUCCUGGACCGGCAUUGACGCUGAUGAGCGAAAGCCAGGGGAGCAAACGGG
rnacentral:rRNA from 1 species